rnacentral:rRNA from 1 species
UACGGAGGAGGCAAGCGUUAUCCGGAAUUAUUGGGCGUAAAGCGUCCGCAGGUGGCACCUCAAGUCUGCUGUCAAAGGCCGGGGCUUAACCCCAGAAAGGCAGUGGAAACUGAAGUGCUAGAGUGCAGUAGGGGUAGAGGGAAUUCCCGGUGUAGCGGUGAAAUGCGUAGAGAUCGGGAAGAACAUCGGUGGCGAAAGCGCUCUGCUGGACUGCAACUGACACUCAGGGACGAAAGCUAGGGGAGCGAACAGG